rnacentral:lncRNA from 1 species
UGUGCAUUCACUUUGUACAGAUAGUAACAAGCACAAUAUUAGGAUGUAUGUGCAGAGGCUGCAGCCUAUGGGCUGGAAUGAGGGAGGAGAGCCCUGAGCUGCCCGAGUCUAACACACCCCCACCUUUGUUGUCCAGGUGCAUCCACUGUGGUGUCAUCCACCUGACUUUGGCCUUGCUGAAAAGCCACAUCCAGGAGCGACACUGCCAGGUUUUCCACAAAUGUGCAUUCUGCCCCAUGGCCUUCAAGACUGCCAGUAGUACGAUGGACCACAGUACCACCCAGCACCCCACCCAGCCCCACAAACCCUCCCAGCUAAUUUAUAAGUGCUCCUGUGAAAUGAUCUUCAAUAAGAAGAGGCACAUUCAACAACAUUUUUACCAGAAUGUCAGCAAGACACAGGCGGCGGUCUUCAAGUGCCCUGAGUGCCCACUCCUGUUUCUGCAGAAGCCAGAAUUAAUGCAGCACGUCAAGAAUACCCACGGUGUUCCCCGGAAUGUGGAGGAACUGUCAAGCCUCCAGUCUUCAACAGACACAUCUUCUAACCGCCCUGGUUCUCGAGCUCCCACUGAGCCCCCAGCUACAAAUGUAGCCACUAGAGGCAGCUCCCUGACUGC